AUUGAACGCUGGCGGCAGGCCUAACACAUGCAAGUCGAACGGAGUGGCGGACGGGUGAGUAAUGCCUAGGAAUCUGCCUGGUAGUGGGGGAUAACGUCCGGAAACGGGCGCUAAUACCGCAUACUACCAGAUGAGCCUAGGUCGGAUUAGCUAGUUGGUGGGGUAAAGGCCUACCAAGGCGACGAUCCGUAACUGGUCUGAGAGGAUGAUCAGUAACACUGGAACUGAGACACGGUCCAGACUCCUACGGUAGGCAGCAGUGGGGAAUAUUGGACAAUGGGCGAAAGCCUGAUCCAGCCAUGCCGCGUGUGUGAAGAAGGUCUUCGGAUUGUAAAGCACUUUCAGCGGGGAGGCGUUACCCGCAGAAGAAGCACCGGCUAACUCCGUGCCAGCAGCCGCGGUAAUAC
rnacentral:rRNA from 1 species